GGAUGUAAUCGCCUUAUUAUUAACUCAGAUAACCUGGAGGUGAUUCAAACUAUGCGGGAUGGAGGACAGUAGGCAGGUGCGGCGGUGGAAAAUUUCGAUGAUUGUUUUCAUUACACCUGUAAUUUCUUUACUACCAGAUUCGAACAUUGUAGUAGAGAAGCAAAUAAAGUAGCUCAUCAGCUUGCUAGAUUAGCUAGAUUUUCUUUGACUUCUAAUUUGUUUGAGGAACCCUUAAAUGAAAUUGUAAUGAUCCUCACAAAUGAUGUACUUUUUAUCUCUAAUGAAUAA
rnacentral:rRNA from 1 species